rnacentral:misc_RNA from 1 species
UCUUCUCCAGAUGGCCUCCUUAGCCUCCAAGUUACUGUCUCCCCCAAUUGAUCCUUUGGCUCUCCACCUUUUGCAGAUUCCUCAUAGAACCAAUCAAUGCUUCCACCUCCACUUGAAUCCAGUCCUUGUAUCACAGAGGAUGUUGUAUCACUCCAAGACCCGUAGAUAAAUCCUUUGCGCACUGUGAAAGGGUGUAGAGCUUUUGAAAACUUGAGAAAUUGGCUUCUGCAUUAGCCACCUAUGCAAUAAUAUUAUUCAUCGUUUUCCCCAGCACGUCCAUGAAUUGCCUGGGCUCUGAAACUUCUCGCAUAUU